AAAAGUCCCCUUUUUUUUAACUACUGCUUCGGAGUGGGCAGUAGUUAGUGGAGCUGCAGGGAGUUUAGCUAGGGGCACCUGGGUGUCCUGGUAACAGAUAAGGGCUGCUGUGGGAAGGAAGAGAAGCAAACGUUUUCCAGAAAUAGAGGUCAAACGGAGAGCAUUUGGCUGUGGUCACAGACACUGCAGCGUCCACCCCACAUUCCUCCCCAGCCCCUAUCCCUUUACCCCUCCUUGCAGGGAACUUUCCCUGCCAGUAGCAGGCACCAACAUUUCCUGGCCAGGUACCAUCUGUUGCUGCUGGAACCAGCUUUGCCUGCAGCCCCUGGAGAAGCAGAAGCUCCCAGGAAUUUGUGCACUGCCCAGAGGGCAGAAUGACCAAGCUGAGUACAGAUGCGUUCAUCAUCCAGAGGAAAGGCGCUCAGCAUCUCCACGCCAUCCCCCUCCCUGCCGUGGGACGGAGGCAGCAACAUUUCCCUGACCUGGGCCGGCUGCAGCUAAGGCUGAGACAUCUGCAUAGGGCAGAAGGGGCCAGGUCAAGGCCUUCCUGGCAAGUGCCUCCCAGGGGACAAUGCCAGUCCCAGAAAGGGCAGCCCGUAAAGCCCUCAGGCCCAGUGGCCAUGCCUCACCCGACAGCUUGGGAGAUCCAGGCACAGCGGGAGAAGUGACUUGCCGAGGUCAUGCAGGGACACGGUCAAGCCACUGCCUGGCUUCCUGACACCCCUUCUGCCCUACCAUGCUGAUGCCCAGGUUUGCCCUGUGGGAAUUCCCUGGGCCCACCCAGCUGCCAUGCCCUGGCACCCGUAGAGUAAUCUGGAGGCGUGUGGGUGCCUGUCACCCAAGCAUCCUUCCUGGCAUAGCAGGAGGAGAGAGCCAAGCACCCAAGGCAGCCCCUGACCUCAGGGACCCCCAGUUCUUCCUGCACCCCUUGACCUUCCCACUUCUCUAGGGACUGCCUCAUGGUGGGUGGGUCUCUGUUCUGCCCUGUCCUACCGUGGGUCCUGCGGGGAGGCGGCUGGAACACGGGGCUGAGUGGCACCCAGCACACACCCAGGGCCCUGGGAGGGGGUUCGCCUCUUCCUUCUGCAGUGGGCUCUGCCUCCUGCUCUGCACUUGCCCA